CUCUGCCGCCCAGAGCGAGACACCAACAUGGAGCCCGAGGAUCUGCCAUGGCCGGGCGAGCUGGAGGAGGAGGAGGAGGAGGAGGAGAAGGAGGAGGAGGCUACAGCGGCUGCGGCGGAGGCAGCGGCGGCGGCGACGAACUUGGACGACGUCGUGGUGGUGGAGGAGGUGCAGGAAGAGGCUGGGCGGGAGUUGGACUCCGACUCUCACUACGGGCACCAGCAUCUGGAAAGUACAGACGACGAGGAGGACGAGGAGGACGAGGAGGCCAAGGCCUGGCUGCAGGCGCACCCCGGCAGGAUUUUGCCUCUGCCAUCGCCUCCGAGGCACCGCUACUCGGAGGGCGAGCGUACCUCCCUGGAGAAGAUUGUUCCAUUGACCUGUCAUGUAUGGCAACAGAUAUUAUAUCAAGGCAAUAGUAGAACACAAAUUUCUGAUACUAAUGUGGUCUGUUUGGAAACAACAGCUCAGCAGGGUUCUGGGGAUGAUCAGAAAACAGAAUCUUGGCAUUGUCUUCCUCAAGAAAUGGACCCUUCCCAAACCUUGGAUACAUCCCAGACCAGGUUUAAUGUGAGAAGAGAAGAUACUGAAGUGUCAGACUUCCCCUCUCUGGAGGAGGGUGUAUUGACCCAAUCAGAAAAUCAAGUAAAGGAACCCAACAGAGAUCUCUUCUGUUCUCCUUUGCUAGUCGUACAAGAUAGCUUUGCUUCUCCUGAUUUGCCUUUGCUGACCUGUUUGACACAAGACCAAGAAUUUGCGUCUGAUUCUUUAUUUCAUCAAAGUGAACUAAGUUUUGCACCUCUGAGGGGAAUUCCUGAUAAGUCUGAAGAUACUGAAUGGUCUUCUCGACCAUCGGAAGUUAGUGAAGCUUUAUUCCAGGCUACUGCAGAAGUAGCUUCAGACUUAGCAAGCAGUUGCUUUAGUGUAUCUCAGCACCCACUUAUAGGGAGCACAACUGUUGGGUCUCAGUGCCCUUUUUUACCUUCUGAACAAGGGAAUAAUGAAGAGACUACUUCGUCUGUUGAUGAACUGAAAAUUCCCAAAGACUGUGAUAGUUAUGAUGAUCUUUGUUCAUAUAUGUCAUGGAAGACACGAAAAGAUACACAGCAGCCUGAAACCAAUUUAGCUGAUAAAGAUCAAGUUUCAGUUACAAGUUUAUCUGACAUAACCGAUGAAAACAUAGCUACUGAAAGAAGUGACCAUUUUGAUGCUGCGUAUUCAUAUGGGCAGUAUUGGAAACAGGAAGCUUCACCUAAGCAGGCAGAAACAUAUUUAACCAAGGGCCUGCAGGGGAAGGCUGAGUCUGACAUCAUUACUCUGGAUGGCCUAAAUGAAAACGCUGUUGUGUGCAGUGAAAGAAUUACUGAACUACAAAGAAAGCUAACAAGAGAGUCGGAAUAUCACUCUUCAGAUCUCAGAAUGUUAAGAAUGUCUCCUGACACUGUGCCAAAGGCUCCUAAACAUUUAAAAGCAGGAGAUGCUUCUAAAGGAGGCAUAGCUAAAGUUACUCAAUCCAACUUGAAGUCAGGCAUCACUACCACUCCUGUUGAUUCAGACAUUGGAUCUCAUUUAUCCUUGUCCCUUGAGGACCUGUCUCAGUUGACUGUAAGUUCUCCUCUAGAAACUACUACUGGUCAACACACCAAUACUCUCAACCAAAGGCCAUUAGCGGAUACUCAUCUAACUGAAGAGACUCUGAAAGUCACAGCUAUUCCUGAACCAGCUUACCAGAAGACUGCAACACCAACAGUACUCUCUAGUUCCCACUCACACAGGGGGAAGCCCAGUAUUUUCUACCAGCAGGGCUUGCCAGACAGUCAUCUAACUGAAGAGGCUUUGAAAGUUUUAGCUGCUCCUGGACCAACUGACCAGACAACUGGCAUACCAACUCUAACUUCUACUUCCUACUCACAUAGAGAGAAGCCUGGUAUUUUUUACCAACAAGAGUUACCAGAGAGUAACUUAACUGAAGAGCCUUUGAAAGUUUCAGCUGCUCCUGGCCCAGUGGAGCAGAAAACUGGAAUACCUACAGUAUCCUCUACAUCCCACUCACAUGGAGAGGACCUCCUCUUUUUCUAUCGACAGAUCUUGCCAGAUGGUCAUCUAACUGAUCAGGCUCUGAAAGUUUCAGCUAUGUCUGGACUGGCUGACCAGAAGACUGGGACAGCAACAGUACUCUCUACUCCCCACUCGCAUAGAGAGAAGCCUGGUAUUUUUUACCAACAAGAGUUCCCAGAUAGUCAUCAAACUGAAGAGACUCUUAAAGUUUCGUUCACUCCUGGACCAGCUGACCAGAAGACUGAGAUACCAGCAGUACAGUCUAGUUCUUACUCACAGAGAGAAAAGCCUAGUAUUUUGUACCCACAGGUGUUAGCAGACAGUCAUCUACCUGAAGAGGGUCUGAACGUUUCAGCUGUUGCUGGACCAGCUGACCAGAAGACUGGCCUACCAACAGUACCCUCUAACGCAUACUCACACAGAGAGAAGCUCCGUAUUUUCUACCAACAGGCCUUGCUGGACAGCCAACUACCCGAAGAGGUUCUGAAAAAUUCAGCUGUUUCUGGACCAGCUGACAGAAAGACGGGGACACCAACUGUAACCUCUACUUCCUCUGUGUCCUCUUCACUUGGAGAAAAGCCUGGUGCUUUCUAUCAGCAGACCUUACCCAAUAGUCAUCUAACUGAAGAGGCUCUGAAAGUAUCAGUUGUUCCUGGACCCAGUGAUCAGAAGACUGGGAUACCCUCAGCACCAUCUAGUUUCUACUCACACAGAGAGAAGCCCGUUAUUUUUUCCCAGCAGACCCUACCAGACUUUCUUUUCCCUGAAGAAGCUCUGAAGGUUUCAGCUGUUUCUGUAUUGACUGCCCAGAAGACUGAGACACCAACAGUGUCCUCUAAUUCUCACUCACAUAGCGAGAAAUCUAGUAUUUUCUACCAGCAAGAGUUGCCAGACAGUGAUCUACCUAGAGAAUCUCUGAAAAUGUCUGCUAUUCCUGGACUGACUGACCAGAAGACUGUCCCAACAGCAACAGUACCUUCAGGUUCCUUCUCACAUAGAGAGAAGCCCAGUAUUUUCUAUCAGCAGGAAUUGCCAGAUAGUCAUCCAACUGAAAAGGCUGUGAAAGUUUCAACUGGCCCUGGACCAGCUGACCAGAAGACUGAGAUACCAACAAUACAGUCUAGUUCUUACCCACAGAGGGAGAAGCCUAGUGUUUUUUACCCACAGGUGUUAUCAGACAGUCGUCUACCUGAAGAGAGUCUGAAAGUUUCAGCCUUCCCUGGACCAGCUGAUCAGACGACUGACUCACCAGCAGUACCCUCUACUUUCUACUCACAAAGAGAGAAGCCUGGUAUUUUCUACCAACAGACCUUGCCAGAGAGUCAUCUGCCUAAAGAGGCUCUGAAAAUUUCAGUAGCUCCUGGACCAGCAGACCAGAGGACUGGCACACCAACUGUAACCUCAACUUCCUACUCACAAUAUAGAGAAAAGCCCAGCAUUUUCCACCAACAGGCCUUGCAAGGUACUCAUAUACCUGAAGAGGCUCAGAAAGUUUCAGCUGUUACUGGACUGGGUGACCAGAAGACUUGGAUACCAGGAGUACUUUCUACUUUCUACUCACAAAGAGAGAAGCCUGGUAUUUUCUAUCAACAGACCUUGCCAGGUAGUCAUAUACCUGAAGAGGCACAGAAAGGUUCAGCUGUUCCUGGACCAGCUGACCAGAAGACUGGGACACCAACUCCAACCUCUACUUCCUACUCACACACAGAGAAGCCUGGUAUUUUCUACCAACAGGUCUUGCCAGAUAAUCAUCCAACUGAAGAGGCUCUGAAAAUUUCAGUUGCCUAUGAACCAGUUGACCAGACAACUGGCACACCAACUGCAACCUCUACUUCCUACUCACAACAUCGAGAGAAGCCCAGCAUUUUCUACCAACAGUCGUUGCCAAGUAGUCAUCUAACUGAAGAGGCACGGAAAGUUUCAGUGGUUCCUGGACCAGCUGACCAGAAGACUGGGAUACCAAGUUUACCCUCUACUUUCUACUCACACACAGAGAAGCCUGGUGUUUUCUACCAGCAGGUCUUGCCAGAUAAUCAUGCAACUGAAGAGGCUCUGAAUAUUUCAGUUGCCUAUGAACCAGUUGACCAGACAACUGGCACACCAACUGCAACCUCUACUUCCUACUCACAACAUAGAGAGAAGCCCAGCAUUUUCUACCAACAGUUGUUGCCAAGUAGUCAUCUAACUGAAGAGGCACGGAAAGUUUCAGUGGUUCCUGGACCAGCUGACCAGAAGACUGGGACACCAACUUCAACGUCUACUUUCUACUCACACACAGAGAAGCCUGGUGUUUUCUACCAACAGGUCUUGCCACAUAGUCAUCCAACUGAAGAGGCUCUGAAUAUUUCAGUUGCCUAUGAACCAGUUGACCAGACAGCUGGCACACCAACUGCAACUUCUACUUCCUACUCACAACAUAGAGAGAAGCCCAGCAUUUUCUACCAACAGUCGUUGCCAAGUAGUCAUCUAACUGAAGAGGCGAAGAACGUUUCAGCAGUUCCUGGACCAGCUGACCAGAAGACUGGGACACCAACUUUACCCUCUACUUUCUACUCACACACAGAGAAGCCUGGUGUUUUCUACCAACAGGUCUUGCCACAUAGUCAUCUACCUGAAGAGGCUUUGAAAGUUUCAGUUGCUCCUGGACCAGCUGACCAAACGAUUGGCACACCAACUGUAACCUCUCCUUCCAGCUCAUUUGGAGAGAAGCCCAUUGUUAUCUACAAACAGGCCUUUCCAGAUGGUCAUCUACCUGAAGAGUCUCUGAAAGUUUCAGUUGCUCCUGGACCAGUUGACCAGACAACUGGCUCACCAACUGUAACCUCUCCUUCCUACUCGCAACAUAGAGCAAAGCCUGGCAGUUUCUACCAGCCGGCAUUGCUAGGUAGUCAAUUACCUGAAGAGGCUCUCAGAGUUUCAUCUGCUCCUGGACCAGCUGACCAGACAACUGGCAUACCAACCAUAACCUCUACUUCCUACUCACUUGGAGAGAAGCCCAUUAUUAUCUACAAACAGGCCUUUGCAGAUGGUCAUCUACCUGAAGAGGCUCUGAAAGUUUCCAUUGUUUCUGGACCUACUGAAAGGAAGACUGAGAUACCAACAGGACCUUUAGGUUCCAGUGCACUUGGAGAGAAGCCCCUUACUUUCUACCAGCAGGCUCUGUUAGACAGUCCUCUAAAUAAAGAAGUUGUGAAAGUUUCAGCUGCUCCUGGACCAGUUGACCAGAAGACUGAGACAAUACCAGUAUAUUCUACUCCCUACUCAAAUAGGGGGAAGCCCGUCAUUUUCUACCAACAGACCCUAUCAGACAGUCAUUUACCUGAAGAAGCUCUGAAAGUUCCACCUGUUCCUGGACCAGAUGCCCAGAAGACUGAGACACCAUCAGUAUCCUCUAGUUUAUACUCACAUAGAGAGAAGCCCGUUGUCUUCUACCAACAGGCCCUGCCAGACAGUCAGCUAACUAAAGAAACUCUGAAAGUUUCAGCUGUUCCUCAACCAGCUGACCAGAAGACUGGGUUAUCUACUGUAACCUCCUCUUUCUAUUCACAUACAGAGAAGCCUAAUACUUCUUACCAACAAGAGUUGCCAGAUGGUCAUCUAACUGAAAAGGCUCUGAAAGUUUCAGAUGUUCCUGGACCAGCUGACCAGAAGAGUGGGUUAUCGACAGUAACCUCUACUUCCUACUCACACAGAGAGAAGCCCAUUAUUUCCUACCAGCAAGAGUUGCCACGUUUUACUGAAGCAGGUUUGAAAAUUUUAAGAGUUCCUGGACCAGCUGACCAGAAGACUGGAAUAAACGUCCUGUCCUCUAAUUCCUACCCACAGAGAGAGCAGUCUGUCAUUUCUUAUCAGCAGGAGUUGCCAGAUCUUACUGAAGUAACUUUGAAAGCAGUAGGGGUUCCUGGGCCUGCUGACCAGAAGACUGGGAUACAAAUAGCAUCCUCUAGUUCCUACUCAAAUAGAGAGAAGCCCAGUAUUUUUCAUCAGCAGGAGUUGCCAGAUAUUACUGAAGAAACUUUCAAUGUUUUUGUUGUUCCUGGACAAGGUGACCAGAAGGCUGAGAUACCAACAGUACCUCUAAGUUACUACUCACAUAGAGAGAAGCCUAGUGUUAUCUCUCAACAGGAGUUGCCAGACAGUCAUCUCACAGAAGAGGCUCUGAAAGUUUCACCUGUUUCUAUACCAGCAGAGCAGAAGACUGGGAUACCGAUAGGACCGUCUAGUUCCUACUCACAUUCACAUAAAGAGAAACUCAAGAUUUCAACUGUGCACAUACCAGAUGACCAGAAAACUGAGUUUCCAGCAGCUACCCUUAGUUCCUACUCACAAACAGAGAAGCCCAAGAUUUCAACUGUGAUUGGACCAAAUGACCAGAAGACUCCAUCCCAGACAGCUUUUCAUAGUUCCUAUUCUCAAACAGUAAAGCCCGAUAUUUUAUUUCAACAGCAGUUGCCAGAUAGAGAUCAAAGUAAAGGUAUUCUAAAGAUUUCAGCUGUCCCUGAACUAACUGAUGUGAAUACUGGAAAACCAAUACCUCUCUCUAGUUCUUAUUUUCACAGAGAGAAAUCAAGUAUUUUCAGUCCACAGGAAUUGCCAGGUAGACAUGUAACUGAAGAUGUGCUGAAGAUUUCAACAAUUCCUGGACCACCUAGUCAGAAAACAGUAUUACCAACAGUGCUUCCUAGUUCCUUUUCACACCGAGAGAAACCCGAUAUUUUCUAUCAAAAGGAUUCGCCAGAUAGACGUCUAACUGAAGAUGCUCUAAAGAUCUCAAGUGCUCUUGGGCAAGCUGAUCAAAUUACUGGAUUACACACAGUUCCCUCUGGUACUUACUCACAUGGUGAGAAUCACAAGCUUGUUUCAGAACAUGUCCAAAGGCUGAUAGAUAAUUUGAAUUCUUCUGACUCCAGUGUUAGCUCAAAUAAUGUGCUUUUAAAUUCUCAGGCUGAUGACAGAGUUGUAAUAAAUAAACCAGAAUCUGCAGGUUUUAGAGAUCUUGGCUCUGAAGAAAUCCAGGAUGCAGAAAAUAGUUCUAAAACUCUUAAGGAAAUUCGGACACUUUUGAUGGAGGCAGAAAAUAUAGCACUGAAACGAUGCAAUUUUCCUGCUCCCCUUGCCCCUUUCAGAGAUAUUAGUGAUAUUUCAUUUAUACAAUCUAAAAAGGUGGUUUGCUUCAAAGAACCCUCUUCCACUGAUUUGCUUCAGAGACAGCCAUUCACAGAGGAAAGCCCAAGCAGCAGGUGCAUACAGAAGGAUAUUGGCACACAGACGAAUUUGAAAUGCCAGAGAGGCAUUGAAAAUUGGGAGUUUAUUAGUUCAACUACAGUAAGAAGUCCUCUACAGGAAGCAGAGAGCAAAGUCAGUAUGGCAUUAGAAGAAACUCUUAGGCAAUAUCAAGCAGCCAAAUCUGUAAUGAGGUCUGAACCUGAAGGGUGUAGUGGAACCAUUGGGAAUAAAAUUAUUAUCCCCAUGAUGACUGUCAUAAAAAGUGAUUCAAGUAGUGAUGCCAGUGAUGGAAAUGGUUCCUGCUCGUGGGACAGUAAUUUACCAGAGUCUUUGGAAUCAGUUUCCGAUGUUCUUCUAAACUUCUUUCCAUAUGUUUCACCCAAGACAAGUAUAACAGAUAGCAGAGAGGAAGAGGGUGUGUCAGAGAGUGAGGAUGGUGGGGGUAGCAGUGUAGACUCACUGGCUGCACAUGUGAAAAACCUUCUGCAAUGUGAAUCCUCACUGAAUCAUGCUAAAGAAAUACUCAGAAAUGCAGAGGAAGAGGAAAGCCGGGUACGAGCACACGCCUGGAAUCUGAAGUUCAAUUUAGCACAUGAUUGUGGAUACUCCAUUUCAGAAUUAAAUGAAGAUGACAGGAGGAAAGUAGAAGAGAUCAAGGCAGAGUUGUUUGGUCAUGGGAGAACAACUGACUUGUCCAAGGGUUUACAGAGUCCACGUGGAAUGGGAUGCAAGCCAGAAGCUGUAUGUAGUCACAUUAUUAUUGAGAGCCAUGAAAAAGGAUGUUUCCGGACUCUAACUUCUGAACAACCACAACUAGAUAGCCACUCUUGUGCUUUUAGAUCUGCUGAACCCUCAGAAAUGACCAGAGGACGUCAGAGCCCAUCAUCAUGUAGAGCCAAGCACGUCAACCUUUCUGCAUCCUUAGACCAGAACAACUCCCAUUUCAAAGUUUGGAAUUCCUUGCAGUUAAAAAGUCAUUCCCCUUUUCAAAACUUUAUACCUGAUGAAUUCAAAAUCAGCAAAGGUCUUCGAAUGCCAUUCCAUGAAAAGAUGAACCCUUGGCUGUCAGAAUUAGUAGAACCUGCUUUUGUGCCACCUAAAAAAGUGGAUUUUCAUUCUUCAACAGAAAUGCCAUCCCCAGAACCCGUGAAAAAGUUUACUACCUCCAUCACUUUUUCAUCUCACCGACAUUCUAAAUGCAUUUCCAAUUCCUCUGUUGUUAAGGUUGGUGUUACUGAAGGUAGCCAGUGUACUGGAGCAUCUGUGGGGGUAUUUAAUUCUCAUUUCACUGAAGAACAAAAUCCUCCUAGAGAUCUUAAACAGAAAUCCUCUUCCCCUUCAUCAUUUAAAAUGCAUAGUAAUUCACCAGAUAAAGAAGUGACUAUUUUAGCAGAAGGUAGAAGGCAAAGCCAAAAAUUAUCUGUUGAUUUUGAGCAUUCUUGUCAAGAAGAAAAACCCUUAGAAAGAUCAGAUUUUACAGGCAAUCAUUCUGAGCCCAGUACCAGUGCAAAUUGUAGCAAUUUCAAGGAAAUUCAAAUUUCUGAUAACCAUACCCUUAUUAGCAUGGGCAGACCAAGUUCCACCCUAGGAGUAGGCAGAUCGAGUUCCAGACUAGGAGUAAAAGAGAAGAAUGUAACUGUAACUCCAGAUCUUCCUUCUUGCAUUUUUCUUGAACAACGAGAGCUCUUUGAACAAAGCAAAGCCCCACAUACAGAUGACCCUGUGAGGAAACACCAUUCUCCCUCUCCUCAGCAUCAGGAUUAUGUAGCUCCAGACCUUCCUUCUUGCAUUUUUCUUGAACAACGAGAACUCUUUGAACAGUGCAAAGCCCCAUAUGUAGAUCAUCAAAUAAGAGAAAACCAUUCUCCCCUUCCUCAAGGUCAGGAUUCUAUAGCUUCAGACCUUCCUUCUCCCAUUUGUCUUGAACAAUGCCAAAGCAAAGCGCCAGGUGUAGAUGACCAAAUGAGUAAACACCAUUUUCCCUUUCCUCAAGGUCAGGAUUGUGUAGUGGAAAAGAAUAAUCAACAUAAGCCUAAAUCACACAUUUCUAGUAUAAAUGUUGAAGCCAAGUUCAAUAAUGUGGUCUCCCAGUCAGCCCCAAAUCAGUGUACCUUAGCAACAUCUGCAUCUACUCCUCCUUCAAAUAGAAAAGCACUUUCUUGUGUUCGUAUAACUCUUUGUCCCAAGACUUCUUCCAAGUUGGAUAGUGGAACUUUAGAUAAAAGAUGCCAUUCAUUGGAUGCUGCUUCUAAAGCAAGGAUGAAUAGUGAGUUUAACUUUGACUUACAUACUGUAUCUUCGAGAUCACUGGAACCAACCUCCAAAUUAUUGACCAGUAAACCUGUAGUACAGGAUCAAGAAUCUUUAGGUUUUCUAGGACCUAAAUCUUCACUGGAUUUCCAAGUCGUACAGCCUUCUCUUCCAGACAGUAACACUAUUACUCAGGACUUGAAAACUAUACCUUCUCAGAAUAGCCAGAUAGUAACCUCAAGGCAAAUACAAGUGAACAUUUCAGAUUUCGAAGGACAUUCCAAUCCAGAGGGGACCCCAGUAUCUGCAGAUCGAUUACCCAAGAAGAUAAAGACUCCACUUUCUGCUUUCUCUGAAAAACUGUCAUCUGAUGCAGUCACUCAGAUAACAACAGAAAGUCCAGAAAAGACCCUAUUUUCAUCUGAGAUUUUUAUUAAUGCUGAAGAUCGUGGACAUGAAAUUACAGAGCCUGGUAACCAGAAACUACGCAAAGCUCCUGUCAAGUUUGCCUCAUCAUCUUCAGUCCAGCAGGUUACUUUUUCUCGUGGCACAGAUGGUCAGCCUUUAUUAUUGCCAUAUAAGCCUUCUGGUAGUACGAAGAUGUAUUAUGUUCCACAAUUAAGACAAAUUCCUCCAUCUCCGGAUUCCAAAUCAGAUACCACCGUUGAAAGCUCCCAUUCAGGAUCCAAUGAUGCGGUUGCUCCAGACUUCCCAGCUCAGGUGCUAGGCACAAGAGAUGAUGAUCUCUCAGCCACUGUUAACAUUAAGCAUAAAGAAGGAAUCUACAGUAAGAGGGUAGUGACUAAGGCAUCCUUGCCAGUGGGAGAAAAACCCUUGUGGAAUGAAAAUGCAGAUGCCUCAGUUCAAGUGCUAAUCACUGGGGAUGAGAACCUGUCAGACAAAAAACAGAAAGAGAUCCACAGUACAAGGGCAGUGACUGAGGCUGCCCAGGCUAAAGAAAAAGAAUCUUUGCAGAAAGAUACUGCAGAUUCCAGUGCUGCUGCUGCUGCAGAGCACUCAGCUCAAGUAGGAGACCCAGAAAUUAAGAACUUGCCAGACACUAAAGCCAUUACACAGAAAGAGGAGAUCCAUAGGAAGAGGACAGUUCCCGAGGAAGCCUGGACAAGCAAUAAAGAAUCCCUACAGAUCAAUAUUGAAGAGUCUGAAUGUCAUUCAGAAUUUGAAAAUACUACCCAUUCUGUCUUCAGGUCGGCGAAGUUUUACAUUCAUCAUCCCGUACACCUACCAAGUGAUCAAGAUAUUUGCCAUGAAUCUUUGGGAAGGAGUGUUUUCAUGAGACAUUCUUGGAAAGAUUUCUUUCAGCAUCAUCCAGACAAACAGAGAGAACACAUUUGUCUUCCUCUUCCUUAUCAAAACAUGGACAAGACUAAGACAGAUUAUACCAGAAUAAAGAGCCUCAGCAUCAAUGUGAAUUUGGGAAACAAAGAGGUGACAGAUACUACUAAAAGUCAAGCUAGAGAUUAUCCAGAAUAUAGUGGACAAAUUAAUGAUCCAAAAAAGGAUCAGAAGGUCACCCCAGAGCAAACAACUCAACACACUGUGAGUUUGAAUGAACUGUGGAACAAGUAUCGGGAGCGACAGAGGCAACAGAGACAGCCCGAGUUGGGUGAGAGGAAAGAACUAUCCUUGGUGGACCGACUUGAUCGUUUGGCUAAAAUUCUUCAGAAUCCAAUCACUCAUUCCCUCCAGGUCUCAGAAAGUACACAUGAUGAUAGCAGAGGGGAACGAGGUGUGAAGGAAUGGAGUGGUAGACAACAGCAGAGAAACAAGCUGCAGAAAAAGAAGCGGUUUAAAAGCCUAGAGAAAAGCCAUAAAAACACAGGAGAGCUUAAAAAAACCAAGGUGCUUUCUCAUCAUGGAGCUGGGAGGUCUAAUCAAAUUAAAAUUGAACAGAUUAAAUUUGAUAAAUAUAUUCUGAGUAAACAGCCAGGUUUUAAUUAUAUAAGCAACACUUCUUCGGAUUGUCGGCCCUCAGAGGAGAGUGAGCUGCUCACAGAUACUGCCACCAACAUCCUUUCCAGCACCACUUCUACUGUCGAAUCAGAUAUAUUGACCCAAACAGAUAGAGAAGUGGCUCUGCACGAAAGGAGUAGCUCUGUUUCCACUAUUGACACUGCCCGGUUGAUUCAAGCUUUUGGCCAUGAAAGAGUAUGCUUGUCACCCAGACGAAUUAAAUUAUAUAGCAGCAUCACCAACCAACAGAGGAGAUACCUUGAGAAGCGGAGCAAACACAGCAAGAAAGUAUUGAAUACAGGUCAUCCCCUAGUGACUUCUGAGCACACCAGAAGGAGACGCAUCCAGGUAGCAAACCAUGUGAUUUCUUCUGACUCUAUUUCCUCUUCUGCCAGUAGUUUCCUGAGCUCGAACUCUACUUUUUGCAACAAGCAAAAUGCACACAUGUUAAACAAGGGCAUACAAGCAGGUAACUUGGAGAUUGUGAACGGUGCCAAAAAACACACUCGAGAUGUUGGGAUAACUUUCCCAACUCCAAGUUCCAGCGAGGCUAAAUUGGAAGAGGACAGUGAUGUGACUUCUUGGUCAGAAGAAAAACGUGAAGAAAAACUGCUCUUUACCAGUUAUCCUGGAGACAGAAAGUUAAAAAAGAACAAGAAGAAUUCCCAUGAAGGAGUUUCCUGGUUUGUUCCUGUGGAAAAUGUGGAGUCUGGAUCAAAGAAGGAAAAUGUGCCCAAGAGUUGGGGCCCUGGCGUCUCCUGGUUUGAACCAAUAACCAAGACCAAGCCGUGGAGGGAGCCACUGCGGGAGCAGAACUGGCAGGGGCAGCACCUGGAUGGUCGGGGCUCCCUGGCAGGCCCAGGCAGAGAGGAUGGCAGAGACCCACUGAAGCCGUUUGUGAGAGCAACCCUGCAGGAAUCGCUUCAGUUUCACAGACCUGACUUCAUCUCCAGCUCUGGGGAGCGGAUAAAGCGCCUGAAGUUAAUAGUCCAGGAGAGGAAGCUGCAGAGCAUGUUACAGAGCGAGCGGGAUGUGCUAUUCAAUAUUGACAGGGAACGGCAGGGCCACCAGAAUCGCAUGCGCCCACUGCCCAAGAGAGUCUUCCUGGCUGUCCAGAAGAGCAAGCCUAUCAGCAAGAAGGAAAUGAUUCAGAGGUCCAAACGGAUUUAUGAGCAGCUUCCAGAAGUACAGAAAAAGAGAGAAGAAGAGAAGAGAAAAUCAGAAUAUAAGUCAUACCGACUGCGAGCCCAGCUAUAUAAAAAGAGAGUGACCAAUCAACUUCUGGGGAGAAAAGUUCCCUGGGACUGACACAAGUUUAUUUUCCUCAGAGCCUUGGAAUUCUAUUUUAUGAACCUAGAGAAGCACAAUCCUUACUUUUGCCUAGAUCACACCUAACCUGGGAGGCACCACCUUCUUCCCUCCUGGAGGUGAGACUCCAGCCUCCUCAGUCAGUCCCCUUCCCUGAGGGCAGCUUCUGAUUCAGCCUCUCGCCAGCAAAGACCACCAUGCAGGUAUUUUUGGGGGAGAGGAUCUAUGAAGAAAGCAGUCUUUUAACUGUAAAUCACAAUGCGUUUUGUAUGUUCCCAAUGACUCUUUGGAAUAAUCAAAUGAAUGAUUGUUUGGAACAUUGUCUUGAUGUUAUCAAAACAAAAAGAAACCGGGAUUUAUUCCCCUGGCAAGUAACAGAUGACUUUCCAUGAGAGCGCAGGUUUUGAACAAAGGAGUUUUAUUACCUGUCACAAGUAAGGAGAGCACUGGGAGUGUUCUCCAAAGCAUUGUCUCCCAAGAGAAAAUGACAGGAGGGCUUUAUGUGGUGUUGAAGACGGGAGAGGGUGCAUCAUCGCAUGUAGAGGAGGGUUCCCAGUGGCACAGAUGCAGUGAGUCAGGUGCCAGCACACAGGUCGCAUGUUAUGGUAAUGAAGCUACAGGUCUCCUGGGGUGCAGGCUUUAGCAUGGUCAUGGGGAAAGUUCACUGGGGUUCAUGUGUAAGUUGUCGGGGUCUCUCGGGAGCUGGUUCCAACCAACUAGGUGACCACAUUUCACACAGGGUUUGGGAUAAAACUGGCUUCAAGACAAGAGGCUCUAAAACAGGCUGAUUGCUUGAAUUUACAAAAUUCCUGUACUCCCUGGUUCCCUCCCUGUUGGCCUACAAAUUUCCUCCCCUAGAGAUAUGUCACUCCUCAUUCUGGAGAGGUCAUUAUUCUGUAACUUCAUGCUGAUUAGGGAUACCGUGUCCAGAGAUAUUAGGGGAGUGAAAAUCUCUGGACACUAAAUCUAAAUGUGUUUUGGGGUCUCCCAGGAUAGGCUGCAAAGGCUGGUAUUGUUGUUGGAAGCUGCAGUUGAAAUUUUUCUAAUCUGGAAAAUGCAAAUUUUACCAAGAGAUUUAAGAUCCAGGGACCAAACAGCAGUAGUAUAAACAAUAAAGUUAGUGGUUCUACCAGGGGCAGAGUAUUACCAAGUAAUUAGUAUUGCCCAUUUGGUAGCUUCCCAAAAAAAGUCAGAACUAUGGCCCUGUGGAUUAAAAGUGUGUAACCAAGAGGCUUGGGCAUAGACCUUAAUGUCAACUUCUUUUUCCCCUGAGGUGUUUACUCAGGGGCAGCAAGAGGAAUUAGUAACUGCACACGCUCCUCCCUGUUCCACUAAAAGAUUGUCUAAUACUAUACCGUUACCUAGCACCAGAGUAACCAAGGAGUCAACUGAGGAUGCUAAAGACUCAAGUUUUCUAGUCCAGUUUUUUACAGUGGUUUCAUGAUAAGCGUAUCCCCAAAGAGCAGCCAUCCUGGAUGCUGCUCCCAUCCCCCCCAAAAUUAAACUCAUUGCUCUUUUGACCUGACUUGUAGUAGACCCACCUCAGCAGCCUCCAUAUCAGAGGGGCCCGCAGGCCAGUUGUACAUUGUCCUUCCAUCCAAACGUUCUCCAUGCAGGAAUGAGCGAUGCCAAGUGGGGUAAAGGGAAGGAACCUGGGGGCAAAGAGGCGUGGGGUAGAUGUUUGUGGGGGACCCACAGACCAACACAUGCCCCCUGAGGGGCACAUACUCAUUUGGGGAUAAAGAUAUUUAGGUGGGCGCAGUGGCUCACACCUGUAAUCCCAGCACUUGGGGAGGCCGAGGCAGGCA